rnacentral:misc_RNA from 1 species
GAUGAAGAACGUAGCGAAAUGCGAUACUUGGUGUGAAUUGCAGAAUCCCGUGAACCAUCGAGUCUUUGAACGCAAGUUGCGCCCGAAGCCAUUAGGCCGAGGGCACGCCUGCCUGGGCGUCACACGUCGUUGCCCCUCCCAACCCCUUCGGGAGUUGGCUGGGACGGAUGAUGGCCUCCCGUGCGCUCCGUCGCGCGGUUGGCAUAAAUAACAAGUCCUCGGCGGCCAACGCCGCGACAAUCGGUGGUUGUCAAACCUCGGUGUCCUGUCGCGCGCGCGUCGUCCGGGGCUUUUUCCAAUCUAAUGCGCGUCGAUUCGUCGGCGCUUUCAACGCGACCCCAGGUCAGGCGGGGUUACCCGCUGAAUUUAAGCAUAUCAAUAAGCGGAGGA